rnacentral:rRNA from 1 species
CCGAUUAAGCCAUGCUAGUCGCACGAGUUCAGACUCGUGGCGAAUAGCUCAGUAACACGUGGCCAAACUACCCUUCGGAACACAAUACCCUCGGGAAACUGAGGCUAAUAGUGUAUACCAUACCACCACUGGAAUGAGUGGUAUGCCAAACGCUCCGGCGCCGAAGGAUGUGGCUGCGGCCGAUUAGGUAGACGGUGGGGUAACGGCCCACCGUGCCAAUAAUCGGUACGGGUCAUGAGAGUGAGAACCCGGAGACGGAAUCUGAGACAAGAUUCCGGGCCCUACGGGGCGCAGCAGGCGCGAAACCUUUACACUGCACGACAGUGCGAUAGGGGGAUCCCAAGUGCACAGGCAUAGCGCCUGUGCUUUACGGUACCGUAAGGUGGUACCAGAAUAAGGGCUGGGCAAGACCGGUGCCAGCCGCCGCGGUAAUACCGGCAGCCCAAGUGAUGGCCGAUCUUAUUGGGCCUAAAGCGUCCGUAGCUGGCCGCGCAAGUCCAUCGGGAAAUCCACCUGCUCAACAGGUGGGCGCCCGGUAGAAACUGCGUGGCUUGGGACCGGAAGGCGCGACGGGUACGUCCGGGGUAGGAGUGAAAUCCCGUAAUCCUGGACGGACCGCCGAUGGCGAAAGCACGUCGCGAGAACGGAUCCGACAGUGAGGGACGAAAGCCAGGGUCUCGAACCGGAUUAGAUACCCGGGUAGUCCUGGCCGUUAACAAUGCCUGCUAGGUGUGGCUCCGACUACGA